CCCAUCUCUUCUUCUCUCGAGACUCUCGUCAGGCUCCUCUAGAUCCGAUCGAGGCCAUUUGCCAAGUCUCGCUCCCAUAGACUCGCCCAGCCCCAUCUUAACCCCGUCGCGAGGAGGAGCUGUGCUUCCGGCCGCCAUGCUCACCAUGCGCCCCAGACCGGAAAGGCAUCCAUCGUCUUUCCCCAUCACCAUCACGCACCAUGCUCCCAUCUCCCUCUCUCUCUCUCUGCACAUCCGCGAAGCUGAGUAAUUUAUCGUCUCUGGUUUUCAGGACGCGGGUGGUGCAGUGGCCGCAAGUUCAGGCUUCACAACCGUCUCGACGCGGCACGGCGGUCGACCUCGCGUGGCGUGACGGACGACAAGUCUCCUUCCGUUCCUAGUGUUGCUACACCGUCUGAUGCCGCGUUCCACCUCGACUCCGGCGAUGCGUUCGACGCCCGCCGACGUCCUGACACGGCACGGUCGUCCUCCACCUGUGUUCCGAGCCCCUGGCAACGGUGGGUUCCUCCCCACUUCCUUCCCAAUAGAACCUCGGUAAUUUCAUCCCUUUCUUUAUUCAGCGCAGACUCCACUUCACGGCUGAACAGGACCUGAGCUAGAGUAUUUUUUCACAGAGUUGUCCUGUUUCCUGAAAUACGUAGCCUCUGCAUGGUUGAUCAGACUAGCACUUCGUGAUGAAUUAGAAUUGUUUUAGGGAAAGUAAGUCUGGAAUAACCAGGUUUCAUGGUACAAUUGAACUAACGAAUGUUCAGACUCGAUAUAUCGACUAAAUGUUUACUCUGUGAUUCUAUACAUGUCAGUCCAUAGAUUCCUCUAGUUAAUUCUGCUUGGCCUCUUGAGAAUAGUGUGCUGCACCCCGUUCUAUUGAAUCACUUUAAUUUGGCUAGAUUGUUUAUGGAUGCCCUCAUAUGAUACAUAUUUGGACCCUCAUAUUGCAGUACACACACACUAUCUCUGUUUUUAAGUCAUUAUAUCAUUUUAUUGCUCUUUCUGAUCACACAGGAUGAACUGAUACUGGUUGCUGGUAGUCAUGUAAACCAGAUCUAAGCUUUCAGUCAGGGUCCCAUAGAACAGCAAGACUUGCUAUAUUGGACAUCAGCUCUCGACAUGUUAGGCAAAAUAUUGCAAGGAAUGCAUAUAGGAAUAGGUAGAAUAUUAUAUUUUGACGCAAGAAUGUAAAUUAUCUAUUGUUCAAACAAUUUACAUGUAUCAGAUGGUAUUCCAGUAAUAAAUAUUGAAUUAUUUGUCA